rnacentral:rRNA from 1 species
GAUUAACGCUGGCGGCGUGCAUAACACAUGCAAGUCGAACGAUGAAACUCAUUAGAUUUCUUCGGAAUGAAAAUGAAUGGAUUAGUGGCGAACGGGUGAGUAACGCGUGAGUAACCUGCCUUACACAAGGGGAUAGCCUCUGGAAACGGAGAAUAAUACCCUAUGAAACCAGACAAUCGCAUGAUAAUCUGGUCAAAAUGUUUAGUGGUGUAAGAUGGACUUGCGUCUGAUUAGCUAGUUGGUGAGAUAAAAGCUCACCAAGGCAACGAUCAGUAGCCGGCUUGAGAGAGUGUACGGCCACAUUGGGACUGAGACACGGCCCAGACUCCUACGGGAGGCAGCAGUGGGGAAUUUUGCACAAUGGGGGAAACCCUGAUGCAGCGACGCCGCGUGAUUGAGAAGGCCUUCGGGUUGUAAAAAUCUUUUGUAUAGGAAGAAAAUGACAGUACUAUACGAAUAAGGUCCGGCUAAUUACGUG